GAAUUAUUCUGUGUAAUUAUGAGCCUAGAUAUCGCGCGCUGCUUGGAAUAUCUGAAGGAGGGAACGCGAUGAAUUGCUCUCCCAAUCAUCCCAUUAGGCCGGCUCUACUUAGGUUCUAGCCACGAAUUUCAUUGUGGGAUAGGCAACAUCUGCCACUGCGUUAUUUUGCAAAGAACGCGAGAUCAAAGAAUCCGCGGAACGCGGCUGGGAUUAGAAAGAGUUCCGCGUAACGAAUGGUUGAAUGCGAACACGUGACUCACGGAUAGAUUUAUAAUACAGCAAUGAAUAAAUCAAGAUGAUGGUCGAUUACAUUAAUAAAGACGUUUGUGUCAUAAAGUGAAAACGGGUUAUAUCAGUUGACACCUAUGUAAUGUAACGCAAGAGACGAGUUCCCGUGCUCCAACCCUAGUAACUUUCCCUGUAAUUACAGCAAUUACCGUCGACACGCAAAAUGCAUCAUUUAACCCAGACCUUCAUGCAAACCAGCCGCUCGAGCUACGCCCUUCUUCCAUUUCCUUUAAUCGUUUCAACCGUCGGCACCCUUUGAAGGGCCGGUAGAUCCCCAUUCGUAAGUCCUAAUGCAUAUUAUAAAGAGUGCGAGAUUUUAACAGCACGAAUGAACAAAUAAGUAUUUGUAGCAUUUUGCUGUAUGAAAAAAAUGUACAAGUUUAAUAAAUGGA